CCUGGGGGAGGGCAGCCACGUGGGGGACACUAUUGGGACAACGGCACGUGGCAAUAUUGCAGCAAAUGCGGAAUGACCUGACCAGGGUGAUUCGCCUUUGAGAGAAUAUCCCCUUACGGAGUUAAAUCCUACUGUUUCAAGAAGAAGAAGUGAACGUCCUCAGAAGC
rnacentral:rRNA from 1 species